UUGUAUGUUGUCAGUGGUGAG
rnacentral:siRNA from 1 species